AUUGAACGCUGGCGGCAGGCCUAACACAUGCAAGUCGAGCGGAUGAGUGGAGCUUGCUCCAUGAUUCAGCGGCGGACGGGUGAGUAAUGCCUAGGAAUCUGCCUGGUAGUGGGGGACAACGUUUCGAAAGGAACGCUAAUACCGCAUACGUCCUACGGGAGAAAGCAGGGGGACCUUCGGGCCUUGCGCUAUCAGAUGAGCCUAGGUCGGAUUAGCUAGUAGGUGAGGUAAUGGCUCACCUAGGCGACGAUCCGUAACUGGUCUGAGAGGAUGAUCAGUCACACUGGAACUGAGACACGGUCCAGACUCCUACGGGAGGCAGCAGUGGGGAAUAUUGGACAAUGGCGAAAGCCUGAUCCAGCCAUGCCGCGUGUGUGAAGAAGGUCUUCGGAUUGUAAAG
rnacentral:rRNA from 1 species